rnacentral:rRNA from 1 species
UGAGGAAUAUUGGACAAUGGGCGAAAGCCUGAUCCAGCCAUGCCGCGUGCAGGAAGACGGCCCUAUGGGUUGUAAACUGCUUUUGUACGGGAAGAAACACCCCCACGUGUGGGGGCUUGACGGUACCGUAAGAAUAAGCAUCGGCUAACUCCGUGCCAGCAGCCGCGGUAAUACGGAGGAUGCAAGCGUUAUCCGGAAUCAUUGGGUUUAAAGGGUCCGUAGGCGGGCAAUUAAGUCAGAGGUGAAAGUCUGCGGCUCAACCGUAGAACUGCCUUUGAAACUGGUUGUCUUGAAUCGUUGUGAAGUGGUUAGAAUGAGCAGUGUAGCGGUGAAAUGCUUAGAGAUUGCUC